rnacentral:rRNA from 1 species
AUGGCAGCUUCUAUGCAAACUAAAUUUGAUAAGUACUGGAGGAAGUCAAAUCUUGCUCUUGCGGUUGCCUUCUUUCUUGACCCUAGAUACAAGAGAAGUGGAAUUGAAAAUUACAUGAGAAAGAUGUACCAAGCAUAUGCUUCUAAGUAUUCACAGAGCACUGAUGGACCUAGCUGUACUACCACUUCCCAAGAAGGUGUGACUGAUCUUAUGGUAGAAGAUAUAGAUGAUUAUAUUCUGUCUCAGCAGGGCACUCAUGGGUCUAAUGAUGGUGACACUGACUUGGAUAAGUACAUGGCAGAAGUUACAGUAAGGCUUUCAAAGUUUGCUUUUGAGAACUUUGAUAUCUUAUCAUGGUGGAAAACACAUCAAGAUGUAUAUCAUGUGUUAUCAAUGCUUGCUCGUGAUGUUUUGGCCAUACAAGUGUCCACUGUUGCCUCGGAAGCAGCUUUCAGUGCCGGUGGUCGUGUUAUUUAUCCAUUACGCAGUCGUCUUGACCCCCAUGUGGUAGAAGCAUUAAUAUGUACAAAAGACUGGGUUGCUGCAUCUAGGAAAAAUGACAAUAAAAGAGGGGAUAGACUUGGUUCUAUUGUGAACGAUCUGGAGGUUGUGGAAACACUUAUUGCUAAUAUGAGUCUUGAGGAACAGCUUGACGAAAAGUCACAAGCAGAAGCUGGCAGUGAUGAUGACAAUUUCCAUUAUACCAUGAGUACUUCAACUUUAGGGGAGAGGCUAGCUAUGCAGGCAUGUCUGAUUGCCUCUUAA